GUUGUAUGGUUAAGUGACUAAGCGUACACGGUGGAUGCCUUGGCAGUCAGAGGCGAUGAAGGACGUAUUAACUUGCGAUAAGCCCAGAUUAGGCAGUAAAAGCCACUUGAGUCUGGGAUUUCCGAAUGGGGAAACCCAACUGCAUAAGCAGUUACUGUUAACUGAAUACAUAGGUUAACAGGGCGAACCGGGGGAACUGAAACAUCUAAGUACCCCGAGGAAAAGAAAUCAACCGAGAU
rnacentral:rRNA from 1 species